CGUUUGGUCGCAAAACAACGGUAACCUAAUUUAAGGAAUUUUGGACAUUAGUGUAAAUCAUGUGGUAUAUCAUAAAUGGCAUAUAAUGUCCUUAACUUUCUUUUUAAGUUUUCUCUAAAUAGUCAAAGAAAUAUAUAUAUUUAUGUAUAUAAUAUAGUAUUUUAAGAAAUAACACACCCAAUUGUUCUCAACUAGACAAUUCCUCUGAAAGAAAACUGGUAACAC
rnacentral:lncRNA from 1 species